GUAGGGAUACCCGCUGAACUUAAGCAUA
rnacentral:rRNA from 1 species